rnacentral:rRNA from 1 species
GNUAGCAGUACGAGCGCACCCCUAUCCUUAUUUGCCAGCGAGUAAUGUCGGGAACUAUAGGGAGACUGCCGGGUGAAACCCGGAGGAAGGCGGGGACGAGGUCAAGUCAUCAUGGCCCUUAUGGAUUGGGCUACACACGUGCUACAAUGGGAAGUACAGAGGGAUGCGAAAGCGCGAGCUGAAGCCAAACCCUUAAAACUUUUCUUAGUCCGGAUUGGAGUCUGCAACUCGACUCCAUGAAGUCGGAAUCACUAGUAAUCGCGAAUCAGAAUGUCGCGGUGAAUACGUUCUCGGGCCUUGUACACACCGCCCGUCACAUCAUGGAAGUGGGUUGCACCAGAAGUGGUUAGUCUAACCUUCGGGAAGACGAUCACCACGGUGUGAUUCAUGACUGGGAUGAAGUCGUAACAAGGUAGCCCUAGGGGAACCUGGGGCUGGAUCACCUCCUU